rnacentral:rRNA from 1 species
GAUCCUGGCUCAGGAUGAACGCUGGCGGCGUGCUUAACACAUGCAAGUCGAACGAAGCACUUUAUUACGAUUUCUUCGGAAUGACGAUUUAGUGACUGAGUGGCGGACGGGUGAGUAACGCGUGGGUAACCUGCCUUAUACAGGGGGAUAACAGUUAGAAAUGACUGCUAAUACCGCAUAAGCGCACAGGAUUGCAUGAUCUGGUGUGAAAAACUCCGGUGGUAUAAGAUGGCCUCGCGUCUGAUUAGCUAGUUGGUGAGGUAACGGCCCACCAAGGCGACGAUCAGUAGCCGGACUGAGAGGUUGACCGGCCACAUUGGGACUGAGAUACGGCCCAGACUCCUACGGGAGGCAGCAGUGGGGAAUAUUGGGCAAUGGGCGCAAGCCUGACCCAGCAACGCCGCGUGAAGGAAGAAGGCUUUCGGGUUGUAAACUUCUUUUAAGAGGGAAGAGCAGAAGACUGUACCUCUAGAAUAAGCCACGGCUAACUACGUG